UACAGAGGGUGCGAGCGUUAAUCGGAAUUACUGGGCGUAAAGCGCGCGUAGGCGGCUUUGCAAGUCGGGUGUGAAAUCCCCAGGCUUAACCUGGGAACUGCAUUCGAGACUGCAUUGCUAGAGUAUGGGAGAGGGAAGUGGAAUUUCCGGUGUAGCGGUGAAAUGCGUAGAUAUCAACCAGAACGCCGAUAGCGAAGGCAGCUCGCUGGGGAUGUACCGACGCUGAGGCACGAUAGCGUGGGGAUCAAACAGG
rnacentral:rRNA from 1 species